rnacentral:rRNA from 1 species
UACGUAGGGUGCAAGCGUUGUCCGGAAUUAUUGGGCGUAAAGAGCUCGUAGGCGGUCUGUCGCGUCUGCUGUGAAAACUCAGGGCUUAACCCUGAGCUUGCAGUGGGUACGGGCAGACUAGAGUGCGGUAGGGGAGACUGGAAUUCCUGGUGUAGCGGUGAAAUGCGCAGAUAUCAGGAGGAACACCGGUGGCGAAGGCGGGUCUCUGGGCCGAUACUGACGCUGAGGCGCGACAGCGUGGGGAGCAAACAGG